GAAUAUUGGACAAUGGGCGAAAGCCUGAUCCAGCAAUGCCGCGUGAGUGAUGAAGGCCUUAGGGUUGUAAAGCUCUUUUACCAGGGAUGAUAAUGACAGUACCUGGAGAAUAAGCUCCGGCUAACUCCGUGCCAGCAGCCGCGGUAAUACGGAGGGAGCUAGCGUGGUUCGGAAUUACUGGGCGUAAAGGGCGCGUAGGCGGAACAUUAAGUUAGGGGUGAAAGGCCUGGGCUCAACCUGGGAACGGCCUCUAAGACUGAUGAUCUCGAGUCCGGAAGGGGAUGGCGGAAUUCCCAGUGUAGAGGUGAAAUUCGUAGAUAUUGGGAAGAACACCGGUGGCGAAGGCGGCCAUCUGGUCCGGCACUGACGCUGAGGCGCGAAAGCGUGGGGAGCAAACAGG
rnacentral:rRNA from 1 species